GAUCCUGGCUCAGGACGAACGCUGGCGGCGUGCCUAAUACAUGCAAGUCGAGCGAAGUUUUUCUGGUGCUUGCACUAGAAAAACUUAGCGGCGAACGGGUGAGUAACACGUAAAGAACCUGCCUCAUAGACUGGGACAACUAUUGGAAACGAUAGCUAAUACCGGAUAACAGCAUUAACUGCAUGGUUGAUGUUUAAAAGUUGGUUUUGCUAACACUGUGAGAUGGCUUUGCGGUGCAUUAG
rnacentral:rRNA from 1 species